UACGUAGGGGGCAAGCGUUGUCCGGAAUUAUUGGGCGUAAAGCGCGCGCAGGCGGUUUUUUAAGUCUGGUGUUUAAACCUAGGGCUCAACCUUGGGUCGCAUCGGAAACUGGGGAACUGGAGUGUAGGAGAGGAAAGUGGAAUUCCACGUGUAGCGGUGAAAUGCGUAGAGAUGUGGAGGAACACCAGUGGCGAAGGCGACUUUCUGGCCUAUAACUGACGCUGAGGCGCGAAAGCGUGGGGAGCGAACAGG
rnacentral:rRNA from 1 species